AAUUUCGCGACCUCAACUCAUGUGUGACUACCCCCUGAAUUUAAGCAUAUUAAUUAGGGGAGGAAAAGAAACCAACAGGGAUUCCCUUAGUAGUGGCGAACGAAACGGGAUCAGCCCAUCACGUAGGAUCAUAGGCUUAAGUGUCUAUCGAUCGAUUCCGUGUAAAGGAGG
rnacentral:rRNA from 1 species